ensembl:ncRNA F55A12.15 ncRNA
UGGAAAUUUGUUUGUCUCGUUUGCUAUUCGAAAAGUUGCAGAGUUGAAAACAUGUAAUUAAGAUAUAUUUUCGGAUUUUAAAUAUAAAAUUCAUGUCACUGUGUUAUUAAUAGAGUUGAUCAAGUUUAAAAACAGCCUAAAA